UACGUAGGGGGCGAGCGUUGUCCGGAUUCAUUGGGCGUAAAGAGCUCGUAGGCGGCUUGGCAAGUCGGGUGUGAAAACUUCAGGCUCAACCUGGAGCGGCCACUCGAUACUGCCAUGGCUUGAGUCCGGUAGGGGACCACGGAAUUCCUGGUGUAGCGGUGAAAUGCGCAGAUAUCAGGAGGAACACCGGUGGCGAAGGCGGUGGUCUGGGCCGGUACUGACGCUGAGGAGCGACAGCGUGGGGAGCGAACAGG
rnacentral:rRNA from 1 species